CAAGAUGUCGCGGGGAGUUGGGAUGAGCCUAGCUGAGAGGGUGACCGAAACAGUCAUCGACCCGCUGAACCUGACCUGGAUAAUACCAGCGGAGGAAUCGACAGACAAGUGACUA
rnacentral:ncRNA from 2 species